CUUUAGGUGUUGUAUAGCAUAUAUUCUUUUCGUGAAUAAGGUAAAUUCCUAAAGA
rnacentral:tRNA from 1 species